AGAGUUGAUCAUGGCUCAGGAUGAACGCUAGCUACAGGCUUAACACAUGCAAGUCGAGGGGCAGCAUUAUCGAAGCUUGCUUUGAUAGAUGGCGACCGGCGCACGGGUGAGUAACGCGUAUCCAACCUUCCCAUCACUCAGGGAUAGCCCGCCGAAAGGCGAAUUAAUACCUGAUGGUCUCCUUUGCGGACAUCUAACGAGGAGUAAAGAUUUAUUGGUGAUGGAUGGGGAUGCGCCUGAUUAGGUAGUAGGCGGGGUAACGGCCCACCUAGCCGACGAUCAGUAGGGGUUCUGAGAGGAAGGUCCCCCACAUUGGAACUGAGACACGGUCCAAACUCCUACGGGAGGCAGCAGUGAGGAAUAUUGGUCAAUGGACGGAAGUCUGAACCAGCCAAGUAGCGUGCAGGAUGACGGCCCUAUGGGUUGUAAACUGCUUUUGUGCGGGAAUAAAGUAUGGGACGUGUCCCAUUUUGCAUGUACCGCACGAAUAAGGACCGGCUAAUUCCGUGCCAGCCGCGGC
rnacentral:rRNA from 1 species